AGGGACGGCAGGUAGCCUAGUGGUUAGAGUGUAGGGACGGCAGGUAGCCUAGUGGUUAGAGUGUAGGGACGGCAGGUAGCCUAGUGGUUAGAGUGUAGGGACGGCAGGUAGCCUAGUGGUUAGAGUGUAGGGACGGCAGGUAGCCUAGUGGUUAGAGUGGAGGGACGGCAGGUAGCCUAGUGGUUAGAGUGUAGGGACGGCAGGUAGCCUAGUGGUUAGAGUGUAGGGACGGCAGGUAGCCUAGUGGUUAGAGUGUAGGGACGGCAGGUAGCCUAGUGGUUAGAGUGUAGGGACGGCAGGUAGCCUAGUGGUUAGAGUGUUGGACUAGUAACUGGAAGGUUGCAAGUUCAAAUCCCCGAGCUGACAAGGUACAAAUCUGUUGUUCUGCCCCUGAUCAGGCAGUUAACCCACUGUUCCUAGGCAGUCAUUGAAAAUAAGAAUUUGUUCUUAACUGACUUGCCGAGUUAAAUAAAGGUCAAAUAAAUACAAAUGUAUCAUCUGGGAUAUUUUGGGGGGGAGAUUUCUGUAAC
ensembl:lncRNA